GACGAACCGUGCGAACGUUGUUCGGGAUCACUGGGCUUAAAGGGCGCGUAGGCGGGCUACCGCGUCCGGGGUGAAAUCCCGCCGCUCAACGGCGGGACUGCCUCGGAUACGGGUGGCCUCGAGGGGGGUAGGGCGUGCGGAACUGUGGGUGGAGCGGUGAAAUGCGUUGAUAUCCACAGGAACUCCGGUGGCGAAGGCGGCACGCUGGACCUUCACUGACGCUGAGGCGCGAAAGCCAGGGGAGCAAACGGGAUUAGAUACCCGGUGU
rnacentral:rRNA from 1 species